CUUUCCCAGCUGGCAGUGCCCAGUGAUAUUAUGUGUAUUGAUGGAGAUAUUAUGUGUAUUGAUGGAGAUAUUAUGUGUAUUGAUGGAGAUAUUAUGUGUAUUGAUGGAGAUAUUAUGUGUAUUGAUGGAGAUAUGUGUAUUGAUGGAGAUAUUAUGUGUAUUGAUGGAGAUAUGUGUGUACAGGCUGGCAGUGACUUUCUGGGAAAUGACAGAGCAGAGCAAGCCUCAACAUUAUAGCAGCUGCUGCUGGAUGCAUGGAUGGAACCACACUCUGCCUAAACGCACCCAGGGGGAGGGCGUGUGUUGUUGGGGGUUAGUGUGUGCAUGCGUAUGUGUGUGUGCUUGACCAGAGAGGGCAGGCUGGGACAGAGAGGGGUGGGACAUGUUUUCAUGGGCAAAUGGGCCCCAAAGCACACAGUAACAAAUUGAAGCGGAAAAAACGGUUCAUGGAUAAGAAAAAAAAGAGCAAGAGAAAAGGAUUUGGGGUUAUGGAAUGGAUAUAAGCAACAAUGGACUGAGAAAGAGAGGGAAACUCUUGUUAAAGGGAUGGCAGCUGCUUUUAUUGUUUUGGUAUUAUGACUAUGUUUACUGUCAAUGAAUGGGCUCUACAUUCAGACCCUACUCUCUAAAGCAGUCCCAAUGAAGACAGAGUCUUCCAAUCUGCAUACAGAGGCCAGAGCUAUACACAAACAGGGCCCCAGGGUACUCCACACAUGCCCUCUACCCAUGUGGGACCACGACAUGCCAAGGCCCGAGAAUGGGCUGAUCAAUUGCUUAAUGGGUAAAUGUAUGCCUACUGUAUAUGUAAGGUAAGAUACCAUCAAUGUGCACAGUGGGUACUGGACAAAGGCAGCAGUCUUCUAGCUUGUACUCAGAGACCCCAGCUAUUGACUAGGGUCAGUCUUUGAUCUAUUCUACCCAUCCAUGUCAACACUAUGUAUUCUCUUUACACUUCUAUGACCAUGUUUAUCCCGUUAAUGAUCUUCUCUCUAACCAUGUGACUACAGAUGAGUACAAG
rnacentral:lncRNA from 13 species